rnacentral:rRNA from 1 species
GAGGUACUGCCUGCCCAGUGACAAUCAGUUUAACGGCCGCGGUAUACUGACCGUGCAAAGGUAGCGCAAUCACUUGUCUUUUAAAUGAAGACCCGUAUGAAUGGCAAAACGAGGGCUUAACUGUCUCCUUUAUCCAGUCAAUGAAAUUAACCUCCCCGUGCAGAGGCGGGGAUAUUACCAUAAGACGAGAAGACCCUGUGGAGCUUCAGACACCAGACAGAUCAUGUCAAUUACCUUAAAAUAAAAUUAUUAAACCUAAUGAUUACUGUCCCUAUGUCUUCGGUUGGGGCGACCAUGGGGAAAAACACAACCCCCACGUGGACCAAGAGCAUACACCCGAUUCUAAACUCCUAAAACUAAGAGAAACUACUCUAAUAAACAGAAAUUCUGACCUUUAAUGAUCCGGUAAAACCGAUCAACGAAACAAGUUACCCCAGGGAUAACAGCGCAAUCCUCUUCAAGAGCCCAUAUCGACAAGUGGGUUUACGACCUCGAUGUUGGAUCAGGACAUCCUAAUGGUGCAGCAGCUAUUAAGGGUUCGUUUGUUCAACGAUUAAAGUCCUACGUGAUCUGA